UACGUAGGGUGCAAGCGUUGUCUGGAAUUAUUGGGCGUAAAGAGCUCGUAGGCGGUUCGUCGCGUCGGCUGUGAAAACCCGGAGCUCAACUCCGGGCCUGCAGUCGAUACGGGCGGACUAGAGUUCGGCAGGGGAGACUGGAAUUCCUGGUGUAGCGGUGAAAUGCGCAGAUAUCAGGAGGAACACCGGUGGCGAAGGCGGGUCUCUGGGCCGAUACUGACGCUGAGGAGCGAAAGCGUGGGGAGCGAACAGG
rnacentral:rRNA from 1 species